UACGAAGGGGGCUAGCGUUGUUCGGAAUCACUGGGCGUAAAGGGCGCGUAGGCGACGCGACAAGUCAGGCGUGAAAGCCCCGGGCUCAACCCGGGAAUUGCGCUUGAUACUGUCGUGCUUGAGGCCGGGAGAGGAUGGCGGAAUUCCCAGUGUAGAGGUGAAAUUCGUAGAUAUUGGGAAGAACACCGGUGGCGAAGGCGGUGGUCUGGGCCGUUACUGACGCUGAGGAGCGAAAGCCAGGGGAGCGAACGGG
rnacentral:rRNA from 1 species